rnacentral:rRNA from 1 species
AAAAAAGGUAAGCUACUAAGAGCGAAUGGUGGAUGCCUUGACUGGUAAAGGCGAUGAAGGACGUACUAGACUGCGAUAAGCUACGGGGAGCUGUCAAGAAGCUUUGAUCCGUAGAUUUCCGAAUGGGGCAACCCAAUGUAUAGAGAUAUACAUUACCUAUAUAGGAGCGAACGAGGGGAAUUGAAACAUCUUAGUACCCUCAGGAAAAGAAAUCAAUAGAGAUUGCGUCAGUAGCGGCGAGCGAAAGCGUAAGAGGGCAAACCCAGUGCUUGCACUGGGGGUUGUAGGACUGCAAUGUGCAAGAGGUGAGUUUAGCAGAACAUUCUGGAAAGUAUAGCCAUAGAGGGUGAUAGUCCCGUAUGCGAAAAACAAACCUUAGCUAGCAGUAUCCUGAGUAGGGCGGGACACGAGAAAUCCUGUCUGAAGCUGGGUCGACCACGAUCCAACCCUAAAUACUAAUACCAGAUCGAUAGUGCACAAGUACCGUGAGGGAAAGGUGAAAAGAACUGAGGUGAUCAGAGUGAAAUAGAACCUGAAACCAUUUGCUUACAAUCAUUCAGAGCACUAUGUAGCAAUACAGUGUGAUGGACUGCCUUUUGCAUAAUGAGCCUGCGAGUUGUGGUGUCUGGCAAGGUUAAGCAAACGCGAAGCCGUAGCGAAAGCGAGUCUGAAUAGGGCGCUUAGUCAGAUGCUGCAGACCCGAAACGAAGUGAUCUAUCCAUGAGCAAGUUGAAGCUAGUGUAAGAACUAGUGGAGGACUGAACCCAUAGGCGUUGAAAAGCCCCGGGAUGACUUGUGGAUAGGGGUGAAAGGCCAAUCAAACUUCGUGAUAGCUGGUUCUCUCCGAAAUAUAUUUAGGUAUAGCGUUGUGUCGUAAUAUAAGGGGGUAGAGCACUGAAUGGGCUAGGGCAUACACCAAUGUACCAAACCCUAUCAAACUCCGAAUACCUUAUAUGUAAUCACAGCAGUCAGGCGGCGAGUGAUAAAAUCCGUCGUCAAGAGGGAAACAACCCAGACUACCAGCUAAGGUCCCUAAAUCUUACUUAAGUGGAAAACGAUGUGAAGUUACUUAAACAACCAGGAGGUUGGCUUAGAAGCAGCCAUCCUUUAAAGAAAGCGUAAUAGCUCACUGGUCUAGUGAUUUUGCGCGGAAAAUAUAACGGGGCUAAAGUAAGUACCGAAGCUGUAGACUUGCGCACAACUUAGAUUAUUUAAGUUUAGAAUAUGAGAAACUAAGUUAUAUGUUUAGUUAUAUUUUUACUGAUUUUUAUAGAGUAAAGAUAGAAAUAAAACUUAGUAAAAUCAGUAAAAAUAUUCUUAGACUAAAGUUAAGUAGUUUAAGUUGUGUGCAAGUGGUAGGAGAGCGUUCUAUUUGCGUCGAAGGUAUACCGGUAAGGAGUGCUGGAGCGAAUAGAAGUGAGCAUGCAGGCAUGAGUAGCGAUAAUUAAUGUGAGAAUCAUUAACGCCGUAAACCCAAGGUUUCCUACGCGAUGCUCGUCAUCGUAGGGUUAGUCGGGUCCUAAGUCGAGUCCGAAAGGGGUAGACGAUGGCAAAUUGGUUAAUAUUCCAAUACCAACAUUAGUGUGCGAUGGAAGGACGCUUAGGGCUAAGGGGGCUAGCGGAUGGAAGUGCUAGUCUAAGGUCGUAGGAGGUUAUACAGGCAAAUCCGUAUAACAAUACUCCGAGAACUGAAAGGCUUUUUGAAGUCUUCGGAUGGAUAGAAGAACCCCUGAUGCCAUCGAGCCAAGAAAAGUUUCUAAGUUUAGCUAAUGUUGCCCGUACCGUAAACCGACACAGGUGGGUGGGAUGAGUAUUCUAAGGCGCGUGGAAGAACUCUCUUUAAGGAACUCUGCAAAAUAGCACCGUAUCUUCGGUAUAAGGUGUGGUUCGCUUCGUAUUAGGAUUUACUCCGAAAGCGAAGAAACUUACAACAAAGAGUCCCUCCCGACUGUUUACCAAAAACACAGCACUCUGCUAACUCGUAAGAGGAUGUAUAGGGUGUGACGCCUGCCCGGUGCUCGAAGGUUAAUUGAUGGGGUUAGCAUUAGCGAAGCUCUUGAUCGAAGCCCGAGUAAACGGCGGCCGUAACUAUAACGGUCCUAAGGUAGCGAAAUUCCUUGUCGGUUAAAUACCGACCUGCAUGAAUGGCGUAACGAGAUGGGAGCUGUCUCA